AGGUACGUAAUUAUUAUAAAUUAAUAUCACACUUGUUCUGUGCAACUGUCGUUACUACACAUGUGUUCAAUGAGAUGGCAAGAUGAGAACUACAUACUGGACUGUUGGACUCACUCCACCCACUUUCUUCCUGAUGAAUCUGGAUUGUUAGAUACACAAUGAUUACGAACUGCCCUCUAAAAUAUGUUGAAUGAGAUGUAUGGUAAAUUGUAGCAUUGCAAAUAAGAUCCAUCUAUUUGAUUAGUAUUGUAACCUCUAUCAAAAUUGUUGUCUGGCAGUAAGUCAACAGUGUGUGUGUGUGUGUGUGUGUGUGUGUGUGUGUGUGUGUGUGUGUGUGUGUGUGUGUGUGUGUGUGUGUGUGUGUGUGUGUGUGUGUGUGUGUGUGUGUGUGUGUGUGUGUGUGUGUAACUGCUGGCACUCAUUGGCAGUGUCAUUUCAUGUAAAUUGUACAGUCAGUACACACUCAUUAGUAUUACAUGCUUUUAGAUCGAGUGAUGGUGAGAUUGAGAAUACUGUAAUGUAAUCACAGGGAUCCAAGCAUAACGUUUUUCUGUUAGUUGUCUGUUGUUACAUUAAUUAAAUUGAUGUAUAUCAAACCUAACAACCAUUUACCUACCUUGAAUAUAUGUAUUUCUUACGAUACCUUUGAUGACUGUGAGUGACAUGAUGUAUUUGUGUAACAACUAUAGCAAACUCAACGUGGCAAUUAUUCCAAAUGAUUUGUUGCCAGCCAGUUGACAGUCUUUGGCUGAAAGUUUAAAAACAAUCAGUUGCUGUGUCGAUCUGCUCCUCGAUAGACUGUGAACAUGACCUGACUCAAUUCGAUCCUGAACUAAACCGAGGCCGUGCCUUAACCAGAACAAAGGAGCCAUGAUCACUGAAACCUGCACUACUAAAAGCAGAGGCGAUGACAGUAAUGAUAGCUACUGGUUAUCUAUUAUUACUAAUUAUAGCUACAGUAAUGAUGGCUA